AACGAACGCUGGCGGCAUGCCUAACACAUGCAAGUCGAACGAGACCUUCGGGUCUAGUGGCGCACGGGUGCGUAACGCGUGGGAACCUGCCCUUAGGUUCGGAAUAACUCCCCGAAAGGGGUGCUAAUACCGGAUAAUGUCUUCGGACCAAAGAUUUAUCGCCUUUGGAUGGGCCCGCGUUGGAUUGCUAGUUGGUAGGGUAAAAGCCUACCAAGGCGACGGUCCAUAGCUGGUCUGAGAGGAUGAUCAGCCACACUGGGACUGAGACACGGCCCAGACUCCUACGGGAGGCAGCAGUGGGGAAUAUUGGACAAUGGGCGAAAGCCUGAUCCAGCAAUGCCGCGUGAGUGAUGAAGGCCUUAGGGUUGUAAAGCUCUUUUACCCGGGAUGAUAAUGACAGUACCGGGAGAAUAAGCUCCGGCUAACUCCGUG
rnacentral:rRNA from 1 species